rnacentral:rRNA from 1 species
GAUGAACGCUAGCGGCAGGCUUAACACAUGCAAGUCGAGGGGUAGAAGUUGCUUGCAACUUUGAGACCGGCGCACGGGUGCGUAACGCGUAUGCAACCUACCUUUUACAGAGGGAUAGCCCAGAGAAAUUUGGAUUAAUACCUCAUAGUAUAUAACCUUCGCAUGUUGGUUAUAUUAAAGUUCCAACGGUAAAAGAUGGGCAUGCGUCCUAUUAGCUAGUUGGUGUGGUAACGGCACACCAAGGCGACGAUAGGUAGGGGUCCUGAGAGGGAGAUCCGCCAAACUGGUACUGGGACACGGACCAGACUCCUACGGGAGGCAGCAGUGAGGAAUAUUGGACAAUGGGCGCAAGCCUGAUCCAGCCAUGCCGCGUGCAGGAAGAAGCAUCUACGGUGUGUAAACUGCUUUUGUACAGGAAGAAACACCCCUUCGUGAAGGGACUUGACGGUACUGUAAGAAUAAGGAUCGGCUAACUCCGUGCCAGCCGCCGCCGUAAAAC